GGGAAAUGGCUCAACUAGCUUACCACACAUCUAGGGAUAAAUCAGCUGUUACUCCAUUUAUGAAGGCUUCUAAAAGGGUUGGAAGAUUUCGUGAUGGUGGAAAAGGAGAUGAUAUUACUGUCAUUGUUUCCCACAUUCUUGGUGCAUAGUAGCUGUCUUUUUUAUAAUCAACUUAGCUCCAGUUAAGAUUGGAUUUAUAUUUUAGAAUUAGUGUUGAUAGGAUAGAGGAAACUGAUGUCAUAUGCAGCGAGGUGUUCUUCAUGGUGGUAAAUCUUAAAGGCAGCUAUAGCCUAAAAGGCAUAAUAAUUGUAAUAGCCAAUUUUGGCCUAAACCCAAAUCAAUAAAAAAAAACCAAAAAAAUAAUAAAAUAGUCCAAAAUGAAUGUCCAUUUACAUAUUAAACCCAGGCCUAAACUACCCAAACCCAACAAGCCCAAAAGUCUAGAAACCAUAAAGCCCAACUAGCCCACAAACAUUUUCAGCAGAAAAAGGGUUGGCAAACCCUAGCCGUAUGCCAUGUCGACACCCUUCUUUACCGCGCACGCCACCACCGUUCGAGGCACACCAACCACCAGUCUUGCACGCUUCUCUGUCACCUGCAAAGUAAAAACACACAAGGCAAAGGGACAAUGAAGAAAAGGACAAGAAGCAAUAGAAAACAACGAAGAAAACGAAAAAAAAUGGCAGAAAACAAAACGAAAGUUGAAAAAAAUGGAUCUCGUAUCCGGCUAUGAAACCUGAAACAUCAACUUUGUACUUUUUUUUACGCACAUUAAGCAAAUCAAAAAAGAAAUAAAACUGAAGUUAUAAGGUGUUUGUUUUGAUAUCUUUUUUUUUCUUCUUUCGUUUUCUGUUUGUAUUUUAUUUUUCUGUUUAUUUAUUUAUUUAUUUUUAUCUAUUUAAAAAAAAACAUAGAUUAAAAAGAAAAGAAAAAAGGGGCAUACCUGAGGGUUGCGCUCCACCAUCGUAAAAAUUCGAGGUAAUCACUUUCGAUGAAAGGUGGCCAGAAGUCGCGGGGUCCUUUGCUUAUCUGGGGAUUUUCGUUUGAAUAUUGGAAGUUUCAACUUAGAAACGAGCUUAAGGGGGUCAAAACGGUCGAAAUGGCUUUUUUGGGGGAUUUUGGCCAUUGUACACGGCGGUCACCGCCGUCGUCGGCCGGCGACUAUGACGGGCGGAUGGUGGCCCUAUAGGCCAAACAUGGGGGGAGUUUUGAGAGGAUGAGAGGUUUAGAGUUGAUUUUUUUGGUGUGAGGGUUGAAAAUGAAAGUUUUUAAAAAAAUUUGGGUUUAAAUAAUGAAGGCAAAACAACGUCGUUUUGGCCUCUGACCCGUGCGACCCGACCUAAUUGGUAGAGGAUCCGUGCGUUUUUAAGGCCAAAUGGGCUAUUUGCACUACGGGUCCUUCCAUUUUGCUACUUGUUUUCAAUUCGACCCUUUUGUUCUUUCUUUUGUGUUUUUAAUUUGACCCCAUGAUUUUUGCGCUCGUCUCAUUUUGGUCCUGAUUGAAACGAUGCGCAUAAGGGCUGGGAAUAUUUUCCCAAUCAGUCCCUCACUCUUUAAGCGCGUUUCAUUUCGGUCCUUGAUGGCCUAUUUUCUAUUAUUUACAAUUUGUACCUUAAAUUUCCAUUCGAUUUCAGCCUAGUCCUGGUCUGUUUAAUUAAUUAAUUAAUUUAUUUAUUCAGUUUUUUUUAGGAAUUGUUUUAUUAUUAUUUUUUUAAGUUUGUUUUCUUAUAUUAUUUAUUUUAAAUCGCUUUAUUAUUAUGUAUUUUAAGUCUUUACAUAUUUUAAACUAUUAUUCAUUUUAAAUUUUAUAUAUAUUAUUUAUUUUAAACUAUUAUACAUAUUAUUUAUUUUGAAGUUUUUUAUAUAUACCUUUUUAUUUUAAACUAUUUUAUAUAUUAUUUAUUUUAAAUUUCUUACAUGUCAUUUAGUUAUACUGUUUUAUAUGUUAACUAUUUUAAAUUCUUUUAUUAUUAUUUAUUUUAAGAUUUCCUAUAUUAUUCGUAUUAAACUGUUUUAUAUAUAUUUUUAUAUUAUUCAUUUUAAAAUUUAUUUUUCACAUAUUAUCUCUUUUAAACUCUUAUACGCUAUUUUAAAUUGUUUUAUAAAUUAUUUAUUUAAGUUGCUCUAUGUAUAUUAUUUCAUUAUUUUGUAUAUUAAUGAUUUUUAAUUGUUUUAUACUAUUUACUUUAAAUUGCUUUUUAUAGCAUCCAUUUUAAACCUUUUUAAAUUGUCUUAUACUAAUGAUGGUAUUUAAAUGAUGUAUGUUGUGUGAUUAUCAACAUGGCGUGUACUAUAAUUAUUUCAUUCAUAUUUCCAUAUUAUUAUCAUUUAUUAGCAUUCAUAUUUUAUUCCUCCGCGUUUAAUAUUAUCUUUUAGCUAUUUCAUUUAAAUUACAUCGUGUACUAAGCUCAAACGUAUUUGUCCAAUAUGGACCGUUUUAUUUCAUUCCAAACAAAAUAGCGCACAUUAUUAAGGGUUGCACUCGGAAAAUCUUCAAAAUAAGGCAAUAUUUCGCAUUUCAAGAGUUCAAGAAAUCGUACCAUAACUUACGGGGUUUUGAUUUUCUUGUUAAACCCUUUUGUAUUUCAAAAUACAUGAAGUUUCGAUAAAAAUUAAAGGCAAACUUGUUCCUGAGGAUUCAAACGUCGCAUCCUAACUUACGGGAUGUGGCAUUUUGUUAUAUCAGGACGAGAGGGCCUUUAAUGCUCGUUUCAAUUCAACUCAAGCAUUUUUAAUAGACGUUAAUAAAAAAUGGAUCGUAUUUUAAGACCUUUUCGAAUUUUCAACAUUCGACAUUAAGACAUUAAUUGAUCAAUUAGGUACCAAUUUUGGGCGUUGCGAGGGUGUUAAUCCUUCCUCAUAGUAACUGACUCUCGAACCUAUUUUCUAAAUUUCGUAGACCAAAAUUGUCGUUUUAAUAGGUUAAACUGUUUAUUAAAAUGAUCAAAUUGCAAGGUGAUCCAAUCACACCUCGUAAAAAAGAUUGGUGACAACUCCAUUUUCGUUUUUUCCGUUUUUAAAUAAAAGUCGAAUCCUAUUUUUCAAAAAAAAAAAGGUUUCGACAAUAAUAAUAAUGGGGGUUUUGGAGAUGUUUAUGAGUUCCUUUUAUGAGUCGGUAGUUAGAGCGGCUUCCCUCUCAACCUCUCUCUCCUGCUAGAGGUAUCCACCCUCACUAUAUUAUAAAACGGUUGAUUAUAUGUCACGUAAUAAUACAAAUUUAAAUUAACAGUUACAAUGUACCUGAGUAGGAAGAGCGAGAAGAAACAACCGAAUGAUGAAUCGAUAGUCGACAUUCAAGAAGAAAAACUGUUAAUAUCCAAGAAGGUGAUACAGAUGUCACCAUGGAAACUGACUUGUCCUUAGACAAACCUGGGUCAUAGAAAGAUCGCCUCAUGGGUAAAGGCCUGCGCUUUGAAGAUAAAACAGAAACACCAUCCAAAGAUGUCGAAGAAGACGACCUAGAAUUACUAGAAGAUUAUAUUAGAAAAACUUCAGUAAACGACAUACCAGCAAUUGAAUUCUCCAAACGAAUCACUCAACUUCUCAUAGAAGACAUGGAAUAUACGGUGGUAAUCAAACUCUUAGGAAGAAACAUUGGAUAUGCAACCUUUCAAAACAAGAUACAAGCUCUAUGACAACCGAGUCAACCAUUCAUAUUAAUGGAUAUCGAAAACGGCUACUACCUGGCUAAGUUUCAAAAUCCCGGAGAUUGUAAGAAAGUAUUAGGCCAGGGGCCUUGGAUAGUCUAUGGACAGUACCUAACUGUCCAACCCUGGACCAUUGAUUUUAACCCCUUGCAACCAUAUUCGAAUAUGGUCAUGGCCUGGAUACGAUUUCCUGGAUUGCCUAGACAUAUGUACAAAAGGAAAAUAUCAUGGGAAAUAGGAGGAAUGAUAGGAAAAGUAGUAAAAUUGGAUUUUAAUACUGAUAAUGGAGUCUGAGGAAGAUUUGUAAGAAAGGCAGUUUACGUUAACCUUGGAAAAGCCAUCAUAUUGCAAGUCUUAAUCAACGAUAUUCUACAGAGAAUAGAAUACAAAUACCUGCCUACGGUGUAUUUCUCCUGCGGUCUUUAUGGGUAUUCACAAGACAUAUGCCCAAAGUCAAUGAAUGAGCAACAAAGAACCAAAGAAAGCAUCGCUGAAACAUAAAUAAGACAGGAUAAUAAAACAGGGAAAAAUAAUCCCACAAACAGCUCCGACAUUUAUGGACUAUGGAUGCUUGUCGAAAAAUGAAUUUGCGAUGAUCAAAAGAAAGGCAAAGUAAUAACUGCGUAGCCAGAGAAAAGAAACAAGAAAACACUCGGUUUCAGCCAUUGGAAACCUUUAAUGAUGAGAUGGGCUUAUAUGUGAAUAGGCCCGCCAAUGAAACUAUCCUAGCCCAACAGGAGGUGGGCUCCGCAAUGCACCCAUUAGUUGAUAAACUAAGACCAAUAUCCACAGACUAGCAACAACAAAGGUCUGGUAAGGAGAGCACAGCAUAUUCAGGCCCAAACAAGCAGAAUCAAAUAAAAAAGAUAGGGCCCACCAUAUCCACCUCAGGGAGCCAAAAUAGAAUUAAUCUAGAGAAGCAAGGUUAUCCAGGCCAGACGCAAACUGAAUCAAAAUCAAGAAAGGGGAAAGAAAUAAAUAAAGAAUCACAAACAGUACACAUUUUGCAGUUACAACAUUUAGGGGGAAAUUCAGAGAUGGAGGUGACGAAGGUAAAAGAAAAUGACACAAUGACAGAGAAGCAGGCAAUGAGGGAAAUUAUUAACCAACAACCUUUAGAAAAUUCAGGGACUCAACUCAGCCUACAUUCCAAUGAUGAAAGACUAGUGGAGGUUGCUGUGACCCUUUCUGUCAAAAUUUUAGACACAGCCAAUCACUCAAUAGUGGUUUUUAAAGAGCUCGACAUCCUUGGGGAAAACAGGAAGAUCGGCUUACUCAUAAAAAUUCUAUGGGACGACGAAAUAGCUCUUCCACCGCCAGAACAAUUGAAGGAAAAUGAGUGCAAACCUGAAGGGCCAAAAGCUCAAGCGUAUCAUUCAGGAAAAAGGAAGUCCUUUCAAACCAUAUCCCCCAAAGUCCCAUUGAAAAAAUCAAUUAAUAAUAUGGUGGAUCUGUUACAAGAGCAAAUCAAGCAAGGACUUCUCAACAAGGUAAAUGAAGGAGGGGAGAGGUGAAAAGAAAGCAAGAAUAAGACAUAACAACAAUAUUAGACUGGGUACAAUCUUUCAAACCUUAUAUAAUGAAUUUUAAGUUCAAUUUAUCAAUUUUUGUUUGGCAUUGUUAAGGGUGCGCUAGUGCCAAAUUUCCUCACAUUUUUAGAGAGUAUAAUGUGGAAUUUAAACCAGAUAUAGUAGGCCUUCUUGAACUAAAUGUGAGUAGUAGUAAGGCGGAUGAAAUAAUUGCUAAAUUAGGCUUUCAUCAUUCACAUCGAAUCAAAGCAAAGGGUUUUUCAGGGGGAAUUUGGAUUGGUUGGAAAGACACAAUCCACCUGGAAAUAAUCCAAUAUCACCCUCAAUUUAUUCUGGUUAAAAUAUGUAAUGGAGACAAACACAACCUAUCUUCAUAAUGUUUGUUUACGGAAGUCCUAAUUCUACGAAGAGGAAGAGUUUAUGGGAAGCAUUAAAAACAAUUGUACCAUUUGAUCGAACUCUAUGGAUAGCAUUAGGAGAUUUUAAUGCAAUCCUUUCCGCCGAAGACAAAAAAAGUAGAAGCACCGUAGGGAAAAUAUGCCCAUUAUCCGGGGAGUUCAUUGAAUCCAAAAAUCUUCAAGACUUGGGAUUCCAAGGACCCUCUUUCACUUGGCAACGAAAAGGAGUCUUCGAAAGGCUAGAUCGCACAAUAGGAAAUGAAGCUUGGUGCCAAUCUUUUCCCCACUACGCAAUAACAUAUCUUAUAUGAAUUAGAUCUGAUCAUAGGCCUUUGUCAGUGAAUUUUAAUCUGAAUUUCAAACUCCUUAGAGGCUGACCCUUUAGAUUUCUCGCCGGAUGGGCACAACACCAAGAUUUUUCUAGCAUAGUUAAAAAUUCAUAAAAAUUUGAUGGAGACAUGUAUAGCUCAUUAAAUCAGCUUACUGCAAGUCUUAAAGGCUGUAACAAAAAAUUAUAUGGUCACAUUAGAUAUUGUAAGCAGAAAUUAGUAAAAUCUCUAGAUGUGAUACAAAUGAAACUGGAAAAAUCAUACUCAUAUUCACUGGCUCAAAAAUAAAUAGCAAUCAGAGAAGAGCUAGAAAAUGUACUUAGUCAUGAAAAACUAUUGUGGAAGCAAAAAUCCAGGUGCGACUGGCUUAAACUAAGGGAUAGAAACACGAAAUUCUUCCACAGUGGCACAUUACACAGAAGGAAGAUCAAUCGCAUUAUUACUCUUCGACACUCAAAUGAUGACUGGCUUUAUGAUCCAGAUGACAUAAAAGAGGAAGCAAUUAACUACUUUCAAAAAUUAUACGGUGAAAACCCUAAUAGAUUGAUGACAUUAUCCCCUAGUUGUUUCCCUCUGUUAGACACCAGGGACAUUGAUUUUCUUCAAAAAGAAGUCACGGAUGAAGAAAUUAAAACAACACUUUUAGACAUGGCCCCCUUAAAAGCACCAGAAAGUGAUGGAUACCAUGCUUUGUUCUUCCAAAACCAAUGGGAUAACAUAAGAGGAGCAGUUUGUUCUUGGGUUAAAGAUGUUUUUAAUGGACGACCCAUCGACCAAGAAUUAAAUAACACAUUAAUUGUCUUAUCCCGAAGGUUGCUCAACUAGAAGAAAUAUCUCAAUUUUGACCAAUAAGUCUUUGUAACAUUCUUUACAAAUUAGUCAUGAAAAUAAUAACCAAUAGGUUCAAAAAGGUUUUUCCUAAAAUCAUUUCUCAAGAACAAACUGGUUUCAUUGCUGGAAGAAACAUUAUUGAUAAUAUCAUCAUUGCUUAAGAAGUCAUUCAUUCAAUGUGAGGAAGAAAUAAGAAAUGGAUGACAAUCAAAAUUGACUUAGAAAAAGCUUAUGAUAGAGUCCGUUGGGACUACAUAGACAAAUCAAUCCAAGCAACUGGAAUACCAGAAUAUCUACAAAAAGUUAUCAUGUCAGGCAUCACAACGGCUAUUAUACAAGCCCUGUAGAAUGGGGUGCCCACUGAAAAAUUUAAACCUGCAAGAGGAGUAAGACAAGGAUGCCAUUAUCACUAUACUUAUUUGUCCUCUGCAUGGAAUGGCUAGGACAUUGUCUUAAUUCCUCCAUCUCCUCGAAAAAUUGGAUCCCUAUUAAAUUAUCUAGAACUGGACCUAACUUGUCACACCUAUUCUUCGCAGAUGACUUAGUGAUUUCCUCAAAACAUGGCAUGCUACUAAAGAAUAUUCUUGAACAGUUCUGCAGUUUUUCAAGACACUGUUUCAACUCAAGGAAAACCAAUGUCUUUUUCUCAAAAUGAGUAGUAGAAGACUUAAGUAAUAGGAUCAGUGGGAUUUUGGGGUACCAGAAAGUACAAGAACUGGGAAAAUACUUAGGCAUCCCCUUAUUCCACAAAAGAAUCACUAAAUCCACAGUACAAUUUGUAAUUGAAAAGGUCUAGUCAAAAUUAUGCAAUUGGGAUGCAAAGCAACUUUCCAUGGUAGGACGUUUUACCCUAGUUUAGUCAGUACUCUUAACCAUCCCUAAUUACUUCAUGCAAUCCAUGGAAAUCCCAAAAGGGGUGUGUGAUAAAACUGAAUGUAUAGCAAGACAAUUCAUCUGUGGCUCAAACACGAGAGGAAGGAAGCUAGCACUUGUGGAUUGGGGAACAGUAUGCCAGCCUCGAGUAAAUGGUGGUCUUAGUCUAAGGCGAUUGCAGGAGCAAAACAAAUCCUUUUUGUUAAAAUUAGAAAUGAACCUCAUCUCCAGACGGAAUGCAUUAUGGACGCAAGUACUACGCUCAAAAUAUGGAAUGAAAGAAGUUAUCCCAGAGUGUAUAGAAAGAAGAAAUAGUUCUGCACUAUGGAAAGAAAUUGAGAAGAUCUGGCCAAUAUUGAAAGAUAAUUUAUGCUGGUCAGUUAGAAAUGAAGCGGAAAUAUACUGCUGGAAUGAUAAUUGGGUUCCUAAUAUAGGACCACUGAGGAAACAAACUCAAAAUCCGAAUAGACCAAUCAACGAUUGCUUGCUUAAAGACAUGAUAACAACAGAGGGGGCAUGGAACUUAGAAGCAUUCAGAGAAAAUUUAACAGAGGGAAUCGUACAAAGGAUAAUUGGUGUACCUCCUCUGCACCAUUCAGUAGGACCAGAUAACAUCAGAUGGACGCCUGCCUCUACUGGAAAAUUCUCGAUCAAAAAUGCAUACCAACUAAUAACGGAGAAUUCAUGGAAUAAUCGAGAUACCAGGUGGAAGGAUAUUUGAAAGUAUCCAGGCCCUCAACGCAUCCGUUUCUUCCUAUGGUUAGCUUGUAAACAACGACUACUCACCAAUCUAGAGCAAGCAUGAAGAGGACUUGACUACAAUACCUCUUGUCCAGUGUGUUAGCACAACACAUAAGACGUUCUUUGUGCUCUCAAAGAUUGCCCGUCAACUAAAGAAAUUUGGCUAAACAUUAUCCCCCAAAACUGGCAAACUCAAUUCUUCUUUGGCAAUAUUUUUGACUGGGUAAAGGAAAAUUUAAGACACAAUGAAUGGAUGUUAUGGGCUCAAACCUUCUGGCCAACCCUUUUUGGUCUAGUUGCAUGGCGUAUAUGGAAAAAUAAGAAUCUAUUUGUCUUUCAAGACGUAACAUGGAGUUUAGCUGAAACCAUCAAGAUCUCUAUGUGCUGGGCAAGACAACAUACCAACUCACAUGCGAGGGAUCCAACUAAAGAUAUAAAUGAAGAAACUGAACAGGAAACAAGUCUAGCCGUUGAGUAAUAGUUUUCGAUUUAGGUUUUAUUUUCUUUUAAUUUAGUUUUUUUCCAAAAAAAUCUUCUAUUCAUGUAUAAUUAAAAAAAACAAUUCAAAUAUUUUAAUAAAAAAACAUUUUUAUUUUUAUUUUUAAAUACAAAUAAUUUAAAUAUUUUUUUAUUAAUCAUAUCAUAUGUCAUAUAUAUAUAUAAUAAUUUAAUACAAUUAAUACGUAAUUUAUUGUACUUUGUAUAUAUAAUAAUGUUGAUUGGGACAAUAAUCUUACACUGUAAUUUGUCUUGGGUUAAAUAAAAUAUUUAAAACUAUUAAGAUAUUGGCUAUUGAUAAAAUUAAAUAGUUUAAAUUACAAUUAAUAUGUAAUAUUUUUUUGGAUUUUAUCAUUAUUUUUAGAUAAUUUUUUUAAAAAUAUAUUAAAUAUUUAUAUUAUCUUAAAUAUUUAAUUAAAAAUUAAAAAAUUUAAAAUUUAGAUAAAUAUAUAAAUAAAUAUUAAUUAGAUAAUUUAUACAUUUGAUUUAACUUAAAUAUUUAUUUAUAUAUUAUUUAUACUAUUAUCUAUUAUCUAUUUAUAAUUUUGAUUUUAACAUAAAAAUAAUUAUUUUUAGAAGUAUAUUUUAAAUUACGUAAUUUAUCUAUUCAAAAAUUUCAAACUAUCUAAUUUAAUUAGAUUAUAUUAAAAUUUUAAAUGAAAAUAAAUAUUUUUAAAAAAAGAAUAGCAAUUCAAUUAGAUUAGAUAAUCAUCACAUUAUAAAUUGCAGCAAUGUACAUAUUUAGAACACAAAACAAUAUAAGGUUCGUGAAGGUAAGUUCUAAUUUUUUCACAAUUUUUUAUUGUUUAUUAAUAUGAUUUUUAUCUAAAUUGUUAUGUUUAUUAAGCUUCACAAUGGUUUUGAAUAAUGAUAAUUUUAUUGUUGAGACUAUAGAGUAGUGUAUUAGAAACAAUUACUCGAUUUUCCAUUGAUUAUAUAUAUAAAUUGGACAACAUAAAUAGGAACUAUUCUAGAAUUAGGGGAUUAAAAGUAAUUGAUUACAACUAAUUAUAAUAUAGAGAAAAUCUCUCAGAAUUAAUUCUUUAAUAAGUUCACUUAAGAUGGAGCUCCAAAGGAGACAUCAAUCUUGACCUUUAAUUCUUGGAAGUGUUUUCAUGGAAGCGGUUUGGUAAGACAUUGGAAAGUUGAUCUACUAAGGAAACAUGAGUAACACGAAGAGCGCCUAAUUGAACUUGAUCCCAAAUAAAGUAAUAGAAAAUUGCCACAUGUUCAUGUGUGAAUAAAAGACUGGAUUAGAGAAGAGGUAGGUGGCACCAACAUUGUCACUAUAAAUAACAGGUUGUGUAGGAAGAGUGACUCCAAGCUAUGUGAGAAGAGAACAAAUCUAAUUGAUUUCUAAAGUAGUAGUGGUAACUGACCGAUACUCAGCUUCUAUGGAUGGCCGAGCAAUUAUGUGUUGUUUUGUGGAUGACAACCAAGAUAGAUAAUUUAGACACUCGUAGAGGUAUAGCUGUCUUUGUUGCCAGCCCAAUCUGCAUCUAGGAAGGCAUGAAAAGAGAGUGGAUUUUUUUAUGAAGAAAUAAUCCACGAGUCAAUGUGCCACACAGAUACCGAAGUAGCCAUUUUGCAACAUUCCAAUGUUCAGAUGUCAGGUGAUGCAUGAAUUGGGACAUCUUGUUAACAACAUACGUUAUGUCUGGCUGAAUGAGGCAAAUAUAUUGUAGACUACCAACAAUGGUUCUAUAUUCUUUGUAGUCAGUCAGUGUUGUACCUGAAUGAAGUAUGAAAUUUCCAUUGGUAGCAAGUGGUGUAGCAAUAGGGUGUACACUAAAAAUUUUUGUUUGGGCAAGAAGAUUAGUGAUGUAGUGCUUUUAAGUAAGCAAUAGACUAGACAAAGUGGUAAGAACUUUAAUACCGAGAAAAUAAAACAAGGAACCAAGAUCCUUGAUUGAAAAACGUUGUGCUAAGAGAUCAAUGUAGCAUUGAACAACAUUAGUGUUGGCACUUGUGAUAAUAAUAUUAUCUACACAAACAAGUAGUUAUAUUGUAGUGUUUAUAUAAAAAAAGGUAUAUUGUAGUGACACCUGAGUGGAGUAUGAAUAAAGAAGUGUCUGCAUGAGAGCUUGGGAACCCAAACGCAAUGAGGAAUUGGCGAAGUUCAAGGUACCAAGCCUGUGAGUCCUGCUUGAGUCCAUAUAACUUUUUUUAGUCUGCAUACAUGUGUUGGGUUGUCUCGACCAACAAACCCCAGAGGCUGGGCGAUGUAGACAUCUUCGAAAAGAUGACAUUAAAAAAGGAAUUAUUAACAUCCAACUGUUGCAAUUGCCAACCUUUAUUGACUAUCAGGCUUAGAACAAUGUGUGUUUGUGUUAGCUUGACAACUAGACUAAAGAUGUCAUGAUAAUCCACACCAGGUCGUUGAUGAAAACCUUUGGCAAUUAGUAUAGUUUUAUACAUGUCAACAGAAUAGUAUAGUUUUAUACAUGUCAACAGAACCAUCAGAUAGUUGUUUAAUAUGAAAGAUCCACUUACAGCUAACAAGAUUAUGUAGAAAAGAGGAUGGAACAAGGUCCCAGGUUCCAUUCCGAACAAGGGCAUCAAACUCAUCUUUCAUAGUUUGUCUCCAUUUGGGAUCUUUUAGGGCUUGGUUAACUGUAUGAGGCUCAACGUCAGAUGAUUGAGGAAGGAUAACAGUGAGAGUCAUCUUGGUUAGGGGUUUAUGGAUGUUUUUUUUCACUCUAAUAGUCUUGGGAUGAGUAUUUUGAUGGGUGGGUUGAGUUUUGUUUGAAGUAGAGGAAGUUUUAGAAUUGUGUGGUUAAAGUGGUAAAUUGUUAAUCGAACUGUCUCUAGGUAAAUGGAGAUUUGAGGACUGGGGUAAGCAAUCGACCAAUGAGGGGGUUGGUCAACAGUUUGGGCAUGUGGUGAUGGAUGUUGACAUGAGAAAUCCCUUUAUAGAGACAUAUUGAGUGAGUAACAUGAAAUGGGGAGAAUUUGGAUUGGGGGAAGCCAUUUUGAAGAUGAUCUCUGAAGUGGUAUGAGAUAGAUAAGACCGGUGAGUAGUAAAGGGAAUGAGUUUUUUAAAAAAAUUACAUGAUGAGAAAUAUAUAUUUUAGAAGUAGAUAGAUCAAGACAGAUAUAGGCAUUUUGUAUGGAAGAGUAACCAAGAAAAACACAAGUGUGGAACAACUAUCAAGUUUAUGUUAAGAAAAACGAUGAAACCACAGAUAACAUAAGCAACCGAACACCCGAAGUUUAGUGUAGUUGGGUAGAGACCCAAAGAGUUUUUCAAAAGGAGGUAAAAUAUGUAAUUUGGGUGUGGGCAUACGAUUGAUGAGAGAUACAUUAGUUGCAAAGACAUAAGUCUAAUAAGUUAGAGGCAUGGAUGCAUGAGUGAGAAGAGAUAAGAUGAUUUCAACAAUAUGAUGAUGUCGUCAUUCGGAAAGACCAUUUUUUUCUGGUGUUUGGUUUGGUGUAGUAUGAUGGGAUAUACCAUUGGUAGAGAGAAAAAUUUUAAAAGCUUGAUAUUCGCCACCAUUAUCUAUAUAGAGAGUAAUAAUUUGAUUUUUAAAUUGGUUUUCAACUAAUACCUUGAAGAACACGAAGACAUCAUAAACAUGGGAUUUACACUUAAGUGUAUAAUAUCAUAUGUAUUGGGUAUAAUGAUAAAAAAAAUAACAUAGUACUAAAAACCAUCAAUAGAAUAGACAUGAGAGGUCCAAAAAUUAAAAAAGAGAAGUUUAAGCGAAGGGAUGAGAUUAAGGUAGAAGAAGAAAAUGGAAUUUUAUGACUUUUAUUACAUGACAAUGCAUUGCAAAGUGUGAAUGAAGACAAGGGGCUAGAUAAUGGUAAAGAAAACUUGGAAACAAUAUUUUUCAUAAUUGGGAAUGAUGGAUUACCUAGUCUAGAGUGCCACUCGGACGAAGUGGUCUUAACACUAGAAAAGGCAAGUACUGGUGAAAGGGGGACUAAAAGAGAUGUGGUUGGCCACUUAUAUACGCCAUCCUUAGGUUCACCCAUCAAAAGGAUUGCCCCCGUGUUUAGAUCCUUCACCUGAAAAGUAGAAGGUGAGAAAUCAACAGAAACAUGAUUAUUGGUGCAAAAUUGAUAAAUCAAAAUUAUGUUCUUUUUCAUAGAAGGGACACAAAGGACAUUUUGUAAAGCAAGGUGUGAGAGGAAGUAGGUAUGGUGGUAGAACCAGUGUGGGUGAUGUAAAGGGUCGAUCCAUCGCCAAUCAUGACAUCUUCAGAUCCUUGAUACGAUUUGUAAAGAGAAAUAUUUCUCAAGUCAGACGUGACGUGGUAGGAUGCGCCGCUAUCCAGUAACCACGUAGAAGUAGUGGUGUUGUCGACGACAGCAUGAUUGGCUUGUGAUUUUCAGGUUGUGAAGGGGCGAUAUCCCUAAGAGCCUUGAGGAUAAGGUGUCGGGGAUUGCUGAUAAGUGAUUAGAUGAAACAUUAGGCAUUUUUUGGUAGUGUGUCCAUGAAUGCUGCCAGCUUGACAGCAACCCAAAUAAAGUUUGGUGGAGCGUGGUUGUUGAGGUCAUUUUGUAGCCAUUGAAGAAUGGUAUAUGUAUAUUUUUUUUAAGGAUAUUGAUUGUGGGUUUUCUAAAAAAAAAUGUCCAAGAAGGUUAGACUCUUGAUACCAUGUUAAGACUAUAAUGUUGAAUGCUGGCUAGUAUUGCAGCAACAAGGAUUUUUGGUGCACAAUCAUGCAACUAAUUUUUUUAUUAUAUGCAAACUAGUCUAGUUUAUUUGUGACUUAGUUUGAUCAUGUACAAUAUUAGUUGGCUGUUAUUUUUCUUAUUCAGGUAUUGAUUUAGCUGAUAAGUUAGCUUAUGAAAGUGUACAAGCAAUGUUAUGCAAUUUCCAAUGUUGUUAGUAGGAGUUGUUAAGUAUUUGGUAUUUUGUUUGUAACUUAAGAUAACAAUCUAAAAAUGAAAUGAGUGUGUUGAAAUCAUCUCUUUUUUUUUUUAGUUUCUUAUUUUUUUUCUUUCAUGUUUUCUGUCUAUUGUUGUUAAUAACCUCAACAAAUGGUAUUGGGAUCCUGUUAUCUUUGAGGGCCUUUUUUUGUUCUUUGGUGUUUUCUGAGAAAGAAAAAACUAAAGUAUCUUUAUUGUUGCUGUAAAACAUGAGUUUUUCACCACCACCACCACCACUCUUUUUUUUUUGGUGAAAACUACCACAUAUGGGUAGCGAAAAUGAAGACAUAUUUGUAGGCUCAUGAUUUGUGAAAUGUGGUUGAGAAUGAUAGAGAACCACCUCUAUUGAGAGCUAAUCCUACCAUAGCUAAAAUUAGAAAACACAAUGAUGACUGUGCUAAAAAUAUAAUGAAAUUUCUUGCCUGCAAAAUAAAGUCUCAGAUGUGAUCUUCACCAAAAUUAUGGCUUGUAACUCCCCAAAACAGGCCUAAGAGAAGCUAAAUGAGGAGUUUCAGAGAUUUGAUAAAACAAAACAACAAUAGUUGAUCAAUUUGAGGAGAGACUUUGAAAUUUUGAAAAUGAAAAAGUCUGAAUCAAUCAAGCAAUACUCUGAUAGGAUAAUGGUUACAAUCAACAAUAUCAGAUUGCUUGGAGAAGAUUUCAAUGACGGAAGGAUUGUUGAGAAAGUUAUCACAACCCUUCUAGUGAAGUAUGUGUCAAAGAUCGCUUCAUUGGAGGACUCGAGGGAUUUAUCAACUAUUUUUUUGCCAGAGUUGAUAAAUGCUCUUUAUACACAAGAGCAAAUAAAGGCUAAGAGAUUAGAGGAGCAGGUUGAAGUAGCUUUUUAGGCCCAAAGCAAGGAAGGCUCAAGCUCAAGCUAUAAGGGAAAUAAACCGUGGAAAGAAAAGAAGGGGAGGCCCAAAAAUAUUGGAAAAAAAGUUCUUACCAUGCACUCAUUGCAAGAAGUCCUCACAUUUAUAAUGAUAUUGUUGGUAUAGGUCUGACAUUAAGUGUAGAAGUCGUAAGUGAUUAAGUCAUGUGGAGAAUAUUUGUAAAAAAAAAGGAAAGCCACAACAGUAGCAACAGCAGAAAUGAGUUCAAGCUUAAGCUAAUGAUGACAAUCAAGCUCGAGAGAAGCAUGUUUUAACUAUAUCCUGUUUUACAACCUCUAGUAGGGUAAAAAAGGAUUGGUUAAUUAAUAGUGGCUGCACACAUCAUAUUGCAUCAGAUGAAAGAAUGUUCAGGGAGAUAGACACCAGCUUUGUUUCAAAAGUCAGAAUUGAGAAUGUAAAUUUCAUUGAAGCCAGAUGAAGAGGAGAGGUUGUGAUUGAGACUCAUUCAGGUAUCAAAAUAAUCCCAUAUGUCCUUUUUGCACCUGAAAUUUACCAAAAUUUUCUUAGUAGUUGUCAGCUGAUAGAGAAAGGUUAUUCUCUUAUUUUCAAAAAUAAAGCUUGUAUGAUUGUAAACUCAUGUGAUCAAGAAUUAGUAACAGUCGCCAUGGCUGAUAGAUGUUUUAUUCUAGAUAUAAAUUAGCCAAAUUUAAAGGCUUGUGCUAGCUUAGUUGAUGAAUCACGUUUACAGAAAAAAAAAUGCCAGGGCAUGUUAAAUAAAAAUCUCUCAAUUUGCUGCACAAGUUUGAUCUGGUUGAAGACAUGUCUAGGGUUGAUGUUAAAGGUGAAGUUUGUGAGGUCUGUCAGCUUGGGAAGCAGGUUAGAUUGCCAUUUCUAGUCAAUAAAGAAUAGAGAGCUCAUGAUAAGCUUCAAUUGGUCUUUACUGAUGUUUUUGGACCUAUGAAGACUUCCUUUCUAAGUGAUAAUAGGUAUUUUGUUUUAUUUAUUGAUGACUGCACAAGGUUUUGUUGGGUGCAUUUUUUGAAGCAAAAGUCAAAAGUAGCUUAUUUAUUUCGGAAGUUUAAAUUUAUGGUUGAAAAUCAAGCCAACUGUAAACUCAAGACAUUAAGGUCAAACAAUGGCACUGAAUACACAUCAGAAAAGUUUCAGAGACUAUGUGAAGAAGUAGGAAUUUUGCAUCAACUGACCAACAUUUAUACACCUCAUUAAAAUAUUGUUUGUGAAAGGAAGAAUCGAAAAAUUUUGGAUAUGGCUAGAUGUUUGCUAUUUGAAAGAAAAUUGCCAAACAAUUUUUGGGUUGAAGUAGAAAAUACUUCAAUGUAUCUACUCAACAGAUUGCCAACUAAUGCUGUAACACUCCUCACCCGUAUCCAACACCGGGACAGGGCUCGAGGCAUUACCGAAACAUUAUCAUUCAUAAACAUGCAAAAUCGGGUCACCAAAUUUUGUCCAAAAUUUAAAACUUCUAGAACAUAAGCAUAUCGUUCCUUAUAUAGGCCAUCGAGGCCUAUAACCUACAUUAAGGCGGUUUGGUAUCAUUCGGUAAACUUUGGGUGACUUAAUAAAUUUCUAGCUUUGGUGUGUCACACGCCCGUGUAAGUGGGCCGUGUGUGAUUGGGCACGUCCAUGCCUUUAACCCGUGGGCAACACUGAAUUUUGGGCACGACCAAGACACACGCCCGUGGGCUCACCCCGUGUCCAAAACUUGAGCAUUCUGUUAAAAUAACACGGCCCAGACACACACUCGUGUGUCCUACCCGUGUGCUAAUUUCACUUAAAGUUUUAGGUGUAGGGGACACACGGCCAUACCACACGCCUAUGCGGAUGGGCCGUGUGUCACACACGGCCUAGACACAGGCCCGUGUGUCUAACCAUGUGGACCUUAAUAAGCUAUUUUCCAAGCCUUUAGUCACCCCUUUCAACUACUUGUGCCUAAUGGUUACCAAGUUUGAGAGAAAGCAUGAUUAUACACUUGUAAAUAAUCUUAAUGAAAAUAGUUGUAUGGAAACCUCAUGUCAUUGGUUUCAUACAUAAGUGGUUAUUUCCUAUUUAGUGUCAUGGGUUCCAAUAUUACAUUAAUCCAUCUGAAAUUGGCUCAUUCAUGUGAUUCAUUGCCAAUUGAUAGCAACUCAUCAUUUGUAAUUAAAAGCAUACAUAAAAUCGUAGGUCAUGGCCUACUUAAAUUAAGCCAAUUUUCAUGGCCAUAUAUAAAGAGAUAAACAUAUUUUUUUUACAUGCCUUUGCUGGGCAAAUCAAAUGACACAUAUAACAAAAUACUCAAAAAUACUAUACUGCCAUUGAACAAAAUAAACAGAGUCUUUAUACCAAAGCUUGUUUAGUUAAUAGUGUGUUGUUUCUCCAACCGUCUUCCAAUCCUUAUGAGUCCUCAAGCUCUGUAAAAUAGGGAAAAGAGAGGGGUAAGCAUUUUCAUGCUUAGUAAGCUCGAAUAACCGAAGAGUAAACUUACCGAAUAAUUAGCAUACAUGCAUACUUAAAUCAUAAAAUCAUCCAAUAUGAAAUGAUUUCCUAUCACAUGCACUCAAUCAAUGAGUUAGUCACAUAAUCAUGUAUCAUGUAAUUUAACUAGAUGAGCUCAUCAUUCAACAUUUCAUUCAUACAUGUAUCUUACGUUAAUCUCAUUGAGUUUCUAGGAAACCUCGAUGGAAUACCCAUUGUCCGUCAAUUCAUUCAAAUGAUCUUUCCAUAUAUGCACUCCUGCGAAACUCACAUCAUAUGGCGGGAUUACCAGUCCAGGCUAAAUCCCCCAUAUUAUAUGAACUCAUAAGGUGAUGUCGGGAUUGCCAGUCCAAGCUAAAUCCCAUAUAACGACAAACACUCUUAAUGAGCUUGGAUCUGAGUUACCAGUCCAGGCUAAAUUCAGAUCCUAAUCGGAUUACCCGUCCGGGCUACAUCCAUAAUGCACUCAUAUUCUUCGGGAGGCUUGAUCAUUCAAGGAACACCCAUCCAGGUUAGAUUCCUUUCCAUACUUGAGAUCACGGAUUACCCGUCCGGGCUAAAUCCUUACUGCAACACUUAUAGGAUCUCCUUUCACAUGUAAAACAUGGUUAAUCCAUCGAAUUCCCUUUUAAUCUCAACCGAGACGGUUAUCAACAAGUCAUUAUCAAAGAUGCAUUUCAUGCAUUUUCAUGCCAUUAAUAAUGCAAUUAUCAUGCAUUCAUAAAUUAUACAAUCAUGCAUAUUUGGGGUUUACUUUAAGUUAUCCGAACUUACUUGGUAACAGUUUCAGAGUUAUGUUUCGGUUAUUCCUAAACCUUGCGUUUACCUCGAUCGGCCUCCGAAAUUUGUUCCUCGAGGUCUAUAACAACAAAUUUAGCUCAUUAAUACCCCACAUUAUAGAUUUCAAGUUUAAAAUCUACCCCCGAUCCAAAUGACCGUUUUGCCCCUAACCUUUGACAAUUUUACGAUUUAGUCCCUAGGCUCGUAUAAUGAAACACAUACAAUUUCUAUCUUACCCAAGCUUAACCGAACAUUUUUCUCUCUUAUGACAACCCACAUUUUUCAUUAUUUUUCUCAUUUCUACCACACAUUUACAUCUUUUGCAAAAUAGUCCCUAUAAGGGUUUCUCAUGAAAACCAACUUGGAAAAGAUGUUUAACACACAUUUAUCUUUCAUAUUCCUCCAUAAUCCAUCAAAAUACCAAUAACUCAUGCAUUGAACGUGAACCCUAGCAUGAAAUAUGGCUAGAAAUGGAGAGACCAAGCUACCGGGAUUUCAAAAAUACAAAGAACAUGAAAAACGAGGCUUGGAAGCACUUACUAUUGAGUUUGAAAAUAGAAGAAACCCUAGCUAUGGUGUCCUCCAAAUUUCAGCAGCUAUGGGAAGAAGAUGAGCAUAUUUUUGCUCCAUUUUUCCCUUUUUAUAUCUUUAAAAUGACAAAUGACCAAAAUCCCCUUAUGCCCUUUCUUUAAAAUUUCAUCCAUGCAAACCCAUUUUUGUCCAAAAAUUUAGAAUUUGGGCAAAUUGAUCUCUAAGGCCUUCUAAUUCAUAAUAUAUAGCAAUUUCAUACAAAUUGCUUCUAGAAUCCAAGUUUUGCAAUUUAUUCAAUUUAGUCCCUAAUUUCCAAUUGGACACCUUAUACUUAGAAUUUCUUCAUAAAACUUUAACAUAUGCAUAUACUCAUAUUCUAGGCCUCAUCAUAAUCAUAAAAUAAAUAUUUUGAUGUCGAAUUUGUGGUCCCGAAACCACUAUUCUGACUAAGCCCUAUUUCAGGAUGUUACAUUUCUCCCCUCUUAGGGUCUUUCGUCCUCGAAAGUCUUACCAAAAAACAGAUUUUAAUAUUGGCUUCUUAUGGUUUCUUCUGGCUCCCAUGUGGCUUCUUCUACACCAUGUCAAUGCCAUAAAACUUUUACAAGAGCCACAUCUUUAUUUCUCAACUGUUUAACUUCACGAGCCAAUAUCUUAACCGGUUUUUCUCCAUAGGUCAUGUCCGGUCAAAUUUCGAUCUCAAUCGGUGAAAUUACAUGAUAGGGGUCUGAUCGGUAUCUCCUUAACAUGGAUACAUAGAACACAUCAUGAAUCUUUUCCAGUUCGGGUGGCAACGGCAAACGAUAGGCUAAUAGUCCAACUCUUUCGGUGAUCUCGUACGGUCCGAUAAAUUGUGGACUCAAUUUACCUUUCCGACCAAAUCUCAAUACCUUUUUCCAUGGAGAUACUUUCAAGAAUACUCUUUCUCCAACUUGAAACUCAAUUUCUUUUCUUUUCAGAUCAGCAUAAGACUUUUGUCUAUCUGAUGCUGCUUUUAAAUAAUCCCAUAUCACUUUAACUUUUUCUUCAGUUUCUUUAAUCAGAUCAACUCCAUGAAUUUGAUUUUCCUUGAGUUUUGUCCAGUACAAUAGAGUUCGACAUUUCCUACCAUACAAGGCCUCACAAGGUGCCAUCUUCAAACUUGUUUGGUAACUAUUGUUGUAGGCAAAUUCUACCAAUGGCAGAUAUUUUCCCCAACUACCCUGAAAUUCAAGGAUGCAACAACGCAACAUGUCCUCGAGAAUCUGAAUCAUCUGCUCAGACUGACCAUCGAUCUUAGGGUGAAAAGUUAUGCUAAAGCUCAACUUUGAACCCAAGUCUUCUUGUAACCUCUUCCAGAAUUUCGAAGUGAACCUCGAGUCUCUAUUCGAAAUAAUCGACAGUGGUACUCCGUGCAAUUUUACUAUCUUAGAAAUGUACAAAUCAGCCAAUGGCAUCUUUCUUUGUGGGAUAAAAUGAGCUGACUUUGUCAGUUUGUCCACUAUAACUCAUAUGGCAUCUUUCUUUUUCGGAGUCAAAGGUAAUCCUGUCACGAAAUCCAUGGUAACUUUGUCUCACUUCCAUUUAGGGACCAUUACAGGCUUAACAGACCUGAAGGCACUUGAUGUUCAGCUUUAACUUGCUGACAUACCAUGCAUUUCGAUACAAAUUUAGAAACGUCUCUUUUCAUGCCGUUCCACCAAUACAUUUUCUUUAAAUUGUCGUACAUCUUGGUACUUCCCGGGUGAACUGACAAAUGAUUGUUAUGUGCUUCUUGCAAAAUCUUCCGAAUAAGUUUAUUAUCUUUGGGUACACAAACCCUAUCUUUGAACAUCAAACAUCCAUCAGGACUAAUUCGGAAAUCAGUCUCAAUACCAGACUCACAUUGAGCCCUUUUUGCUUGCAAGUCAUCAUCAUUAAACUGAGAAUCAUAAAUUUCCUGCAGAAAUGUUGGCCUAGCCUCCAGCUCAGCCAGAACUGAACUAUCAUCAAGCAAUGUCAAACGAGUAUCCAUGGCUCUCAAGGCAUACUUGGAUUUUCUACUCAAUGCAUCGACGACCACAUUCGCCUUUCCCGGGUGAUAGUCAAUAAUCAAAUCAUAAUCUUUAAUUAAUUCUAAUCAUCUCUGGUGUCUCAAAUUUAAUUCUUUUUGAGUCAUCAAGUAUUUCAAACUCUUGUGGUCCGUGAAUAUACGGCAAGUCUCACCACACAAAUAAUGUCUCCAAAUUUUUAAGGCAAAAACAAUGGCAGCAAGCUCUAGGUCGUGGGUUGGAUAAUUCUUCUCAUGAGGCUUCAAUUGCCAUGAAGCAUAGGCUAUCACCUUGCCAUCUUGCAUAAGCAUACAACCCAAUCCAUUUAAGGAUGCAUCACUGUAGACCACAAAUUCUUUUCCCGAUUCAGGUAGCACUAAAACAGUAGCUUCGGUCAACAAUGUCUUUAACUUUUCAAAACUUUACUGACACUUCUCCGUCCAUUCAAACUUAACGUCUUUCUGUAGCAGCUUCAUCAUCGGAGUCGCUAUCAUGGAAAAUCCUUUUACAAACCUUCGAUAAUAACUGGCUAAGCCCAAAAAGCUUCUAACCUCAGUUACAUUCUUAGGCGAUUUCCAUUCAACAAUUGCAAAAAUUUUACUUGGAUCAAUUCGGAUGCCUUCACCCGAAACUAUAUGACCCAAAAAUCCAACUUCUUGGAGCCAAAAUUAACUCUUGCUAAACUUAGUAUACAGUUACUUUUCCCGCAAGGUGUGCAACACAGUUUUCAGAUGCUUCGCAUGCUCUAUCUCAUCUCUAGAGUAGAUCAAAAUGUCGUCAAUAAACACAACGAUAAAAUUAUCCAAAUAUGGCUGAAAGAUCCUAUUCAUUAGAUCCAUAAACACGGCCGGUGCAUUCGUCAGCCCAAACAGCAUGACAAGAAAUUCAUAAUGGCCAUACCUCGUUCUGAAAGUUGUCUUGGGUACAUCCGAGUCUUUAACUCGCAACUAAUAAUAGCCAGACCUCAAGUCUAUCUUGGAGAAUACGGUGGCUUCUCUCAAUUGGUCAAACAAAUCAUCAAUCCUUGGAAAAGGAUACUUUUUUAUUAAUAGUCACCUUAUUCAAUUGCAGAUAAUCAAUACAUAACCUCAUCGACCCAUCUUUCUUCUUCACGAACAACACAGGAGCACCCCAAGGUGAAAAACUUGGCCUUGCGAAUCAUUUAUCCAUCAGCUCUUGCAACUGUGCCUUCAACUCUUUCAACUCAGUUGGUGCCAUUCUGUACAGAGCAAUAGAAAUGGGAGUCGUCCCUGGCAUCAAUUCAAUACCAAACUCUAUCUCCCUUUUAGGAGGUAGUUUGGGUAAUUCUUUCGGAAACACAUUUAGAUACUCACAUACUAUCAACACAAACUCAAUUUUUAAUGCAAUUUCCUUAGUGUUCAUUACAAACGCAAGGUAGGCUUCGUAUCUUUUCCUCAUAUAUCUCUGGGCAACCAUUGUCGUGAUUACAACCGGCGACGAACCCAAUUCUCUUGAUUCGACCCGUAGAACCUUACCAUCCGGGCAUCUUAACUUAAUAUACUUACUACCACAAUUCACAGUUACACCAUGAAGGGCUAACCAAUCCAUACCAAGUAUUACAUCAAAUUAAUCAAAUGGCAACAACAUAAGGUUAGUCGGGAAACAAUAACCUUGAAUCGUCAAAGGAAAAUCUUACAGACUUUAUCAACUAGGGCUGAUCUGCCUAGUGGAUUCGACACUCUAAUAAUAUCUUCCGUAUGUUCAACAAGUAUGUUCAUACUAGACACCAAUCUCAUGCAGAUAUAUGAAUACAUCGAUCCCGGGUCAGUUAAAGCAACAACACUUAUAUUAAAAAAAAGAAGGUACCCGUAAUAACAUCAGGAGCAGCUGUUUCCUCUCGGGCACGUAUCACAUACGUUCUUGCCGGGGCUCGAACCUCUGGUUUUGCAGCAUCUUUAGUUAUGACUCGACUGCCACUAGCACUUCCAGGGUAUCUCGGAGGUCUGCCUCGAAGAAUAGGAGCCCUCGAUUUUAGGGUUACAUCCACUCCUUUUUCAGCUCGUUCUGGGCAGUCUCUAAAGAAGUGAUCAAGAGAACCACAUCUGAAACACGCACUGCUCUUCAUUCGACACUCACCGAAGUGAAAUUUGUUGUAGCUCUUACACUUCGAUUUUUGAUCAUCUACACUCCCCACACUAGUCUCCAUCGGGGAGGAAGACUUUUGACCUUGUCAUUUAGAGCUUCUCGAUCUACCCAAAUAUCCCACUGACGAAGUGGAGCGUUCAUGCAGGCUCUUGGCUUUCUUCAUGGAGAACAAGAGUGUUUUACCGCUAGACCUCUUGCUCACAACUCGAGCCUCUCUCUUAGCUUGUUUUCUUUCAUUAUUAAGUUCCUCGGCCUUCUUGGCUCGAUCGACCAAUGUGGCGAACUCCCGUAUUUCCAAGAUCCCAAUCAACAACUUGAUACCCUCAUUCAGACCUUCCUCGAAGCGUUUACACAUUUCUGAUUCUGUUUGGACCCAUUCGGUUGCAUAUAGACUUAGUCGUAUGAAUUCUUUCUCGUAUUCCGCUAUAAUCUUGUUACCUUGUUUGAGUUCCAGGAACUCCUUUUGCUUCAAGUCCAAAAACUGUUGGUUAAUAUAUUCCUUCCUAAACUCUGCUUGGAAGAAAUCCCAAGUAAUAUUUUCCUCUGGCACUACCGAGGAUACGGUUUUCCACCAAUUGUAUGGAGUGUCCUUCAAAAGGGACACAACACACUUUAAACAUUCCUCGGGUGUGCAUGACAAAUCAUCUAACACCCGUGUAGUAUUUUUGAGCCAGAACUCGGCUCUUUCAGCAUCAUCAUCAACUUUAGCUCUAAAUUCUUCAGCCCCAUACUUUCUAAGCUUAUCUACAGGGGUUUUACCGAUUCUCACCGGUGCAAUACCUCGUGGCACAUCCUCAUUAGGUUGGUUAGGGAUCGGGGGUGGUCUUGGUAUAUUGGGGAAAUUACUUAGAUAAUCCCCAAACCAUUCAUCCAUCAUAUCAAAGAAGACAGCUCAGGCCUCUUCUCGGCCUUCUGACAUCAGCCUUUUACUACUACUAGAUACAGCUCGUUGUACGGAAGCUGGAGCAUGGCUCUUGGCUCCCUCGAACUCAUCUUGUGCUUGAUUGGAAGACAUUUACUAUAUUCAAAACAAUUUAAACAAUUAGGAGACGUCACACUAUCAACAUUCGAGUAAUGGAAUGUAUAGCGAACCUUUAACGUCCUCUAUAGUAGUCUUAGAACCGACUAAACCAUAACUCUGAUACCAAUAAAUGUAACACCCCUCACCCGUAUCCAAAACCGGGACAGGGCUCGAGGCAUUACUGAAACUUUAUCAUUCAUAAGCAUACAAAACUGGGUCACCAAAUUUCAUCCAAAAUUUAAAACUUCUAGAACAUAAGCAUAUCGUUCCUUAUACAGGCCAUCGAGGCCUAUAACCUAUAUUAAGGCGAUUCGGUACAAAACCAAAAUCAUUCGGUAAACUUUGGGUGACUUAAUAAAUUUUUAGCUUUAGAGUGUCACACGUCCAUGCCUUUAACCCGUGGGAAACACUGACUUUUGGGCACGACCAAGACACACGCCCGUGGGCUCACCCCGUGUCCAAAACUUGAGCAUUCUGUUAAAAUAACACGGCCCAGACACACGCUCGUGUGUCCUACCCGUGUGCUAAUUUGACUUAAAGUUUUAGGUGCAGGGGACACACAGCCAUACCACACGCACACGCCCGUGUGUCUAACCAUGUAGACCUUAAUAAGCUAUUUUCCAAGCCUUUAGUCGCCCCUUUCUACUACUUGUGCCUAAUGGUUACCAAGUUUGAGAGAAAGCAUGAUUAUACACUUGUAAAUAAUCUUAAUGAAAAUAGUUGUAUGGAAACCUCAUAUCAUUGGUUUCAUACAUAAGUGGUUAUUUCCUAUUUAUUGUCAUGGGUUCCCAUAUUACAUUAACCCAUCUGAAAUUGGCUCAUUCAUGUGAUUCAUUGCCAAUUGAUAACAACCCAUCAUUUGUAAUUAAAACCAUGCAUAAAAUCGUAGGUCAUGGCCUACUUAAAGUAAGCCAAUUUUCAUGGCCAUAUACAAAGAGAUAAACAUAUUUUUUUUACAUGCCUUUUCUGGGCAAAUCAAAUGACACAUAUAACAAAGUACUCAAAAAUACUAUACAUGCCAUUGAACAAAAUAAACAGAGUCUUUAUACCAAAGCUUGUUUACUUAAUAGUGUGUUGUUUCUCCUACCGUCUUCCAAUCCUUAUUAGUCCUCAAGCUCUGUAAAAUAGGGAAAAGAGAAGGGUAAGCAUUUUCAUGCUUAGUAAGCUCAAAUAACCGAAGAGUAAACUUACCGAAUAAUUAGCAUACAUGCAUACUUAAAUCAUGAAAUCAUCCAAUAUGAAAUGAUUUCCUAUCACAUGCACUCAAUUAAUGAGUUAGUCACAUAAUCAUGUAUCAUGUAAUUUAACUAGAUGAGCUCAUCAUUCAACAUUUAAUUCAUACAUGUAUCUUACGUUAAUCUCGUUGAGUUUCUAUGAAAUCUCGAUGGAAUACCCAUUAUUCGUUAAUUCAUUCAAAUGAUCUUUCCAUAUAUGCACUCCCGCAAACCUCAUAUCAUAUGGCAGGAUUACCAGUCUAGGCUAAAUCCCCCAUAUUAUAUGAACUCAUAAGGUGAUGUCGGGAUUGCCAGUCUAAGUUAAAUCCCUUAUAACGACAAACACUCUUAAUGAGCUCGAAUCUGAGUUACCAGUCCAGGCUAAAUUCAGAUCCUAAUCGGAUUACCCGUCCGGGCUAAAUCCACAAUGCACUCAUAUUCUUCGGGAGGCUUAAUCAUUCAAGGAACACCCGUCCGGGCUAAAUCCUUACUGCAACACAUGCAGGAUCUCCUUUCACAUGUAAAACAUGGUUUAUCCAUCGAAUUCCCUUUUAAUCUCAACCGAGACGGUUAUCAACAAGUCAUUAUCAAAUAUGCAUUUCAUGCAUUUUCAUGCCAUUAAUAAUGCAAUUAUCAUGCAUUCAUAAAUCAUACAAUCAUGCAUAUUAGGGUUUUACUUUAAGUUAUCCAAACUUACUUGGUAACAGUUUCAGAGUUAUGUUUUGGUUAUUCCUAAACCUUGCGUUUACCUCGAUCGGCCUCCGGAAUUUUUUCCUCGGGGUCUAUAACAACAAAUUUAGCUCAUUAAUACCCCACAUUAUACAUUUCAAGUUUAAUAUCUACCCUCGAUCCAAAUGACUAUUUUGCCCCUAACCUUUUACAUUUUUAUGAUUUAGUCCCUAGGCUCGUAUAAUGAAACACAUGCAAUUUCUAUCUUACCCAAGCUUAACCGAACAUUUUUCUCUCUUAUGGCAACCCACAUGUUUCAUUAUUUUCCUCAUUUUUUCCACACAUUUACAUCUUUUGCAAAAUAGUCCCUAUAAGGGUUUCUCAUGAAAACCAACUUGGAAAAAAUGUUUAACACACAUUUAUCUUUCAUAUUCCUCCAUAAUCAAUCAAAAUACCAAUAACUCAUGCAUGGGUAAAUUUUUGAACAUGAACCCUAGCAUGAAAUAUGGGUAGAAAUGGAGAGAGCAAGCUACCGGGAUUUCAAAAAUACAAAGAACAUGAAAAACGGGGCUUGGGAGCACUUACUAUUGAGCUUGAAAAUUGAAGAAACCCUAGCUAUGGUGUCCUCCAAAUUUUGGUAGCUAUGGGAAGAAGAUGAGCAUAUUUUUGCUCCAUUUUUCCCUUUUUAUUUCAUUAAAAUGACAAAUUACCAAAAUGCCCUUAUGCCAUUUUUUUAAAAUUUCAUCCAUACAAGCCCAUUUUUGUCCAAAAAUUUAGAAUUUGGGCAAAUUGAUCUCCAAGACCUUCUAAUUCAUAAUCUAUAGAAAUUUCAUACAAAUUGCUUCUAGAAUCGAAGUUUUUCAAUUUAUUCAAGUUAUUCAAUUUAGUCCCUAAUUUCCAAUUGGACACCUUAUACUUAGAAUUUCUUCAUAAAACUUUAGCCAUGCAUAUACUCAUAUUCUAGGCCUCAUAAUAAUCAUAAAAUAAAUAUUUUUGAUGUCAAAUUUGUGGUCCCAAAACCUCUAUUCCUACUAGGCCCUAUUUCGGGAUGCUACAAAUACAAUAAAGGGCAAGAGACCUUUCGAAGCCUAGUUUGGACACAAACCAUCUGCUUCUCACUUGAAAGUGUUUGGUUGCAUUUGCUAUGCACUUGUACUAGCUAAGAAGAGAAGCAAGUUGGAGAGAAAGUCAUUGCUUGGAAUUUUUAUUGGCUAUAGCGGCACGACGAAAGGAUAUAGGGUUUUUGAUCUUUUCACUAAGAAGAUUGAUGUGAGUAGGGAUGUGGAGUUCGAUGAGAGCAAUGGAUGGAAAUAGGAUGGCACUAAUAAAAUUUUGCUUGAACAAAAUAAGCAAGAAAGAGAUCUACAAUUAGUUGAAGAUGAAGUUCAAAUUGAUAAAGGGUUUGAUGACUUUAGAAGAACAAGGCGUAUCACUGACAUUUAUCAAAGAAGUGAUGUAGCUGUUUUAGAGCCUUCAAGUUUUGAGGAAGCUACCAAAGAAGUCUUUUAGAAAGAAUCUAUGGAAAUAGAAAUGGACAUGAUACACAAAAAUGAUAAAUAGGAACUGGUUGAUAGACUAGUCCAAAAAGGGUCAUUAGUGUGAAAUGGGUAUUCAAGACCAUGUACAAUGUUGAUGGGUUUUUGAAUAAGCACAAGGCAAGACUAGUUGUGAAGGGUUACAACCAACAACAUUGAGUUGAUUUUUCAGAAACCUUUGCACCUGUUGCAAGGUUAGACACCAUAAAGAUCUUAUUUGCUUUAGUAGCUCAAAGGAAAUGGAAAAUACAUCUAUUAAAUGUAAAAUAUACUUUUUUGAAUAGUUUGGAAAAUACAUCUAUUAAAUGUAAAAUAUACUUUUUUGAAUAGUUUUCUUGAUGAGAUUUUUGUUGAACAACAAGAAGGCUUUAAAGUGGCUAGAGAGGAAAUCAAAAUCUACAAACUUAAGAAAGCCUUGUAUGGCCUAAAACAAGCUCUAAGAGACUAGUAUGACAGAAUUGAUACUUAUUCGUCUAACCUUGGGUUUGAAAAAAAGCAUUAAUGAGCCAACAUUUUAUGUAAAGAAGUUUGAAAAUGAGACUUUCCUAAUUGUGUUACUGUAUGUAGAUGAUUUGCUUGUUACUGGUAGUAGAAAGGAGUUGAUUGAUGAGUUCAAGAAGUUGAUGCAAGUUGUAUUUGAGAUGUUUGAUUUAGGGGAGAUGACCUACUUUCUUAGCAUGGAAGCAAUUCAGACUCAACAAGCCAUUUUUAUAAAUCAACAAGUAUUUUCCUUGACGAUUUUAAGUAAGUUCUAUAUGGAAAACUGUAAAUCAGCUAGCACUACAGUGGCACAAGGUGAAAAGCUUUCUAGCAAAGAUGACUAUGAAAAAGUGGAUAAAAAGGGGUAUAGAAGGCUUGUAGGUUGUUUGCUUUAUUUGACAGCAUCGAGGUCUGACAUUAUGUUUGCGGUCUGCCUUCUAUCAAGGUUUAAGCAUCAUUGUAAUGUAGCUCACUUCAAAGCAUGAUAAUACUUUGGAAUGACACAUUUUUAUGUAUUAAUUACAUAUUUAUUUUGAGUAUGAUCCUACUAAUUUGAGCUAUUUAUGGUUUUUUAUCUUGUAGGGACUAAAUUGAAGGAAAAAAGAAAUUAGGGAGCAAAAAACAUGAAUUUAAAGAUAAAUUGGCCCAGCAUGCGAAGUAGGAAAGAAGUGUCAAAAAUGAAAAGUAUGGAAGACUUGGGGGAAAAAGUGCAAAGAAGAGAUUUUAUAAACACAAGACUCUAUUUAGAUUUUAAUUAUAUUAGGAUAAUUGUUAAGAUUAUUAUUUAGAUUUAAUUUUAGUUUUUAUCUCUAUUUAUCUUUAUUUAUCUUUUAGAAUUUAGAUAGGAAUAGACUAGGUUUUCUAAGUAUUAUAAAUAGGGGAUAGAGUGAUAUAAAUUUCACUUAUCCCUUUCUAUAACACUCCCUCUCCUAAAAAGCUUAGCCUUUGUUCCUUUCAUUUAUUCAAUAAAAUUCCAUUUUUAUUAAGUUUAUUUCCUUUUCCCUAAAAAGCAUAAGACACUAAAUUCAUCUAGCAAAAGGUUGUCGAGAUUCCCCAAAAAAGGGUUCAUGAGGCUUAGAAUCCGUAUUUAGCCUUCUCAACAAGUAUUCUAUUUUUCCGCAUUACGGGACUGAUGCUUCCGUUCAUGUCCUUUUAAAAGUGAUCUUUUCAUCUUGUGCAAAGGAGGCUGCUUUGUAUGCUUUCGGAAGGUUGCACAGUCGGUUCGUUAGCUUAUUGCGUCAGUGGUUGUCGAGCCCAAGAGACAAAAUGGCGUGGCAUUCGCCAUGGAAAAGUGAUGAUCUAGUAUAAGACGGUCCUACAAAAGUGACGGUUGGCUAGAUUCAAGUUCCUCUAAAUCAUAAGUCUAAAAUCUAAGUGGAGCUGGUGGUCAUAGGUGUCCUCUUCCACUAUAACUGGCUUAUUCUAUUCUAGAAUGAUCACCUAAAAGCCUAAGAUUGAACCCAAGGAGGAUCGAGAUAACCGGAGGAUGGAAUCUCUCCAUCAAAAACUCUCUUUUCUCAACUCUAUUUAUUUUUACAAUUUCAAUUUCAAUUUGCGCAAUUUCAAUUCAAUCAAACUUUUAAUUCUGUUAUUUUAAUUUUUUUCCAAGUACGCCAUUUUUCUUGGGCACGACUUUGCUCGAGAUCUCAAGGAAUAGGAACUUGUACAAAUCCAAUCCCUGAGGAUUUGACCCUACUUCCCUUAUACUAUUCUUUUUCGUUAUUUUAUAAGGAUGAGUUAUUUUUUGUGCUUCCAACGACCGUAUCAAAUUUUGGCGUCGUUGCUGGGGAAUGGUAACGUACUUAUCUUGUUUCUUUUGUUUCUCAUGACCAGAUUUGCUGCAGGUAUUCUUGUGUUUGAUUCAGAAAUAGAGAAGACUACUAUAGCUAAUCAUAAGGAAACAAAGCUCCGUAAAAAGCAGUCAAGGGUGCUAGGAACUCAGAGUAACCCACAGUCAGAAAUAGAAGCAGACGAUGAGGUUGAGUCUAGGGUUAACAAAAACCCUACUCAAACACUAGAAAGCAAAAGAAUAGGAGUCGAUCCACCGGAGGAAGUGCUUAACGCGAAGGUUAACGGAAACUCGAAUCUAGCACAUCAACCUAUGGUUCAAACAAUCCGGCAAAUGGUCGAAGCUAUUGCAGAACAACCGCCGUUAUGCAUUGUGUAUCCUACAACGAAUACUGAUUUUAAACUGAAGACAAGAUUAAUCUAGUUACUACCGAAUUUUUGUGGGUUGCAAAACGAAAAUCCUCACAAACAUCUGAAAGAAUUUCAUAUGGUUUGUCUUAGCAUGAAAAUUCAGGGUGUAAUUGAAGAUCAGAUCAAAUUGCGUGCUUUCCCUUUUUCCCUAGCAGACUCUGCUAGGGAAUGGUUAUUUUUUCUACCCCUAGGUAUUACAACAUGGGCUGAUCUUUCUCAUUUUUUUCUCAACAGGUUUUUUUCCAGUAUCGCGUGCAAUUGAAUUAAGAAAGGAUAUUGUUAGGAUAAGUAAAAAGAUGUGGAGUCUCUUUACGACUAUUGGGAGCGAUUGAAGAAAUUGUGUGCAAGUUGCCCACAAUAUGGUAUAAUGGAUUCGACUAUUGGGAGCGAUUGAAGAAAUUGUGUGCAAGUUUCCCACAAUAUGGUAUAAUGGAACAAUCUCUACUCUAAUACUUUUAUGAAAGUUUAAAACCCAUAAAGAUGAAUAUGGUAGAUGCCGCAAGUGGAGGAGCAUUGGUCAACAUGACUCCCCAACAGGCAAGGGACUUAAUAUCCACUAUGGCUGCAAAUAUUCAGCAAUUCUGAGCCAAUCCUAAAUCCAUUAGGAUGGUUCACUAGCUAAGUAAUUCAACUUUAGAAGAUAAAGUUGAUAGAUUUACUAAUAUCGUGAAUUCUCUUUUUGCAGUAAAAACAGAACUAGCUCGAUUGUCCGAAAUUUGUACAACACCCAAACAUACAACUGAUGCAUGCCCUAGUUUGUGUGAUGAUACUAUGGCCCAUUUAGAUGCUGUAGGGAACUUUCUUAGACCACCCCAAAGUUGAUUUUACCCUUAUGAUAAUACCUAUAACCCAAGGUGGAAAUAUCAUCCUAACUUGAGUUACGAAGCUAACCUACGGUACAACCAACCAUACCAAAACCUGAUUCCACAACAGCCGCAAGAUUCAUGUACCUUUCUAGAAACCAUGGUCAAUAAAUUAGCAGCUAAUAUUCUUGAUUUCAAAAAGGAAACAAAAGAUUUUCAACAGAAAACUGAGGCGUCUAUAAGAGAAUUGACCACAUUAAUUGAGAAAAUGAAUUCACAAGGGAAGCUACAGGCACAAGCAGAAACUAAUCCAAGACAACACGCAAAUGUAGUGACGUUGCAAAGUGGAAAAGUACUAAAACCAAAUCCUAGCAAGAAUCUUGAUCAAGAUUCCUCCCAAAAAAAGUAGGAGAACAAUGAACAGGUCUGAAUGAAACCUCCAUUGCCCAUAAUUCAACCUCCAUUUCCAAGACGAUUGAACCAAUAUUUAAAAGGUAAAUAAGACAAAGAGAUCCUCGAAACAUUUAGAAAUGUCGAGAUCAAUAUACCACUGUUGGAUGCCAUCAAAUAAAUUUCACGAUAUGCUAAGUUCCUUAAAGAGCUCUGCACCACCAAGCGAAACUAGUAAUGAAAAGGUAAGCGUUGGUGAGAAUGUAUCCGCAGUGUUAUAGCGGAAGAUGGUAGCAAAAUGCAAAGAUAGGAGCAUGUUCGCAAUACCAUGCAAAAUAGGCUACUUAGGAAUUAAAAAAGCUGUGUGUGAUUUAGGAGCUUCCAUAAAUAUAAUGCUUUUUCCAUUUAUGAAUCACUUAAUGCUAGUUUUUUUGACGAAAAUAGGUGUUAUCAUUCAAUUAGCAGACAAGUCUAUUUUGCAUCCCGAAGGAGUCCUUGAGGACGUAUUAGUGAAAGUCAACGAACUUAUCUUUCCUACAGACUCUUAUGUAAUAAAAAUGGAAGAUGAUAACGCUCUUAGGUCUUCAAAUAUCUUCUUGGGGUGACAUUUCCUUAGAAUUGCAAACACUAAGAUUGACCUGCGUAGCAGAACCCUCAUGAUGGAGUUUGACGGGGGAGAUCGUAAAAUUUAAUGUUUAUGACACUAUUAGUCACCCGAGUGAAAUCUUGAACAUAAACCGUGUCGACAUAAUUGACUCAUCAGUAGAAGAAACUUUUGAGUCACCUUAUGAAGAUAAACUUGAAACAUUGUUUGAUGAUAAUUUCGAUUCAAGAUUUAUUUGCGAAUCUAUUAAUGAAUUAUUGGCUCCUAUGGAUACUAAACUUCUAUCUUCUGUUGUGCAGGCACCAAAUCUGGAAUUCAAACACUUCCCGAGCAUCUCAAAUACGCAUUUUUGGAGAAUGAUGAGACCAUUACUGACUUAAAAGGGAUUAACCCCUUGAAAGACACAUAAGAUUUUAUUCGAGAAAAAAACGAAACCAAAGCAGGAGGCGCAAGGACAAUUAAACCCAAAUAUGGUAGAUGUGGUAAAAAAAAAGAAUUUCAAAGCCCAUACGAAUCAAAGAAUUCAGCUGGAACGACCCCAAUACUAGUUGAGGCUUCAAGCUAACGAUGUUAAACAAGCGCUUGUUGAGAGACAGCCCAAUUUUUGUUUUUAUUUUUCUUUAUUUUAUUUUAUUUUAUUAUUUAUUACUUUAUUUUGUUUGGAUAUUAGUAAAUUUCUCUUCUUCUAUUUAGGUAAACCGAUAAGGAAAAAAUUCAGGAAUUGGCAUGCUUUCACAAACAUCCCUUAUUUUAUCCAUAUUCUAAGUACGAAUAGCGCAUCCCGAUUUAUACUUACCCAAAACCUACAUCCAAACACCCACCCUAUAGCCAAAUACCCUUUCUUAUACACCUUCAAACCCUAAACUUUUCCCCAUUUUUUCCCAAACAACCCUCCAGCUGUUGUUCCUCUUUUCCCUCACCUUCACAAACCGAUUUUUCCCACCACCAUGAUUAGGGCUAGAAGUCGUGCUGCCGCUGAACCCUCCUUUGCCAUCAACAGCCGCUAGCGUCAAUUCUGGGUGCCCCAACACGUCAAUAUAGCCAAUGAAUGCCUUCCCCUCCUUCCUCUCCUCCACCCGACACUGAACCUUCUCCUCCUUGUAGCUAUGCGUGAACAAUAGUGACUACAUGGGGAGUUUUUCUAAAACCUUUUUUCUU
rnacentral:lncRNA from 1 species